rnacentral:rRNA from 1 species
AAUGGGUCAGCGACUUAUAUUCUGUAGCAAGGUUAACCGAAUAGGGGAGCCGAAGGGAAACCGAGUCUUAACUGGGCGUUAAGUUGCAGGGUAUAGACCCGAAACCCGGUGAUCUAGCCAUGGGCAGGUUGAAGGUUGGGUAACACUAACUGGAGGACCGAACCGACUAAUGUUGAAAAAUUAGCGGAUGACUUGUGGCUGGGGGUGAAAGGCCAAUCAAACCGGGAGAUAGCUGGUUCUCCCCGAAAGCUAUUUAGGUAGCGCCUCGUGAAUUCAUCUCCGGGGGUAGAGCACUGUUUCGGCAAGGGGGUCAUCCCGACUUACCAACCCGAUGCAAACUGCGAAUACCGGAGAAUGUUAUCACGGGAGACACACGGCGGGUGCUAACGUCCGUCGUGAAGAGGGAAACAACCCAGACCGCCAGCUAAGGUCCCAAAGUCAUGGUUAAGUGGGAAACGAUGUGGGAAGGCCCAGACAGCCAGGAUGUUGGCUUAGAAGCAGCCAUCAUUUAAAGAAAGCGUAAUAGCUCACUGGUCGAGUCGGCCUGCGCGGAAGAUGUAACGGGGCUAAACCAUGCACCGAAGCUGCGG